rnacentral:tRNA from 1 species
UAGUUGAAAGCAAUUUUGCGGUUCAGUUACAUUGAAAUGAUAGCUAUUAUUUAGCUCAAUUAA